UGGCCAUAUCACGUUGAAACAUUGGUUCUUGUACAAUCACUGAAGUUAAGCAACAUUGAGCCUGGUAAAUACCUAGAUGGGUGACCACUUGGGAAUACUAGGUGCUGUAA